rnacentral:tRNA from 1 species
GGUGUUGUAGCUCAGUGGUAGAGCGCCCGACUCGCAUGCAUGAAGCACUGGGUUCGAUCCUCAGCACCA